rfam:Olsenella sp. oral taxon 807 strain F0089, complete genome.
AGAGAAGAUGGUAAGCGCACACGGUGGAUGCCUUGGCACAGGAAGCCGACGAAGGACGUGACAAGCUGCGAUAAGCCGCGGUUAGGGGCACAUGCCCGCCAGACCCGCGGAUCUCCGAAUGGGCGAACCCGCCGGGACCAGAGGCCCGGCACCCCGCGCCGAACACAUAGGCGCGGAGGAGGCAACCUGGGGAACUGAAACAUCUCAGUACCCAGAGGAAGAGAAAUCAACCGAGAUUCCCCCAGUAGUGGCGAGCGAACGGGGAAGAGGCCAAACCGGCGGGCGCUUCGGCCCCGCCGGGGUUGUAGGGCCGGUCGUCGCGCAGUGACAAAUCCCCGCGGGAGCGGAACGGCCUGGGAAGGCCGGCGAGACAGGGUUAGAGCCCCGUACGCGAACCCGCAGGGACUGCCGACCGGUUCCUGAGUACCGCCGGACACGUGAAACCCGGUGGGAAGCUGGGGGGACCACCCUCCAAGCCUAAAUACUCUCCUGUGACCGAUAGCGGACGAGUACCGUGAGGGAAAGGUGAAAAGCACCCCGGGAGGGGAGUGAAACAGUACCUGAAACCGUGUGCGUACAAGCAGUCGGAGCGCCCCUCGGGGCGUGACGGCGUGCCUUUUGUAGAAUGAGCCAGCGAGUUACGGUGUGCGGCGAGGUUAAGCUUUGAAGCGAGCCGCAGCGAGAGCGAGUCCCAACCGGGCGCUUGAGUCGCGCGCCGUAGACGCGAAGCCGGGUGAGCUAUCCGUGGGCAGGCUGAAACGGGGGUAAGACCCCGCGGAGGGCCGAACCCACCUAGGUUGAAAACUGGGGGGAUGACCUGCGGAUAGGGGUGAAAGGCCAAUCAAACCCGGAGAUAUCUCGUUCUCCCCGAAAUAGCUUUAGGGCUAGCCCCGGGCGUUUGCCUGCGGAGGUAGAGCACUGAAUGGGUGCGGGGGCCUCACCGCCUACCAAGUCCAAUCAAACUCCGAAUGCCGCAGGCCCAGAGCCCGGGAGUCAGAACAUGUGGGCUAAGCCGUGUGUUCGAGAGGGAAACAGCCCAGACCGCCCGCUAAGGUCCCCAAGUCCGUGCUGAGUGGCAAAGGAUGUGCGUUUGCUCAGACAACCAGGAUGUUGGCUUAGAAGCAGCCACCCAUUCAAAGAGUGCGUAACAGCUCACUGGUCGAGUGGACAUGCGCCGACAAUAUACGGGGCUAAGCACGGUACCGAAGCGGCGGACCCGCGCGCGAGCGCGGGUGGUAGGGGAGCUUUCCGUCCGGGGCGAAGCGAGGGGGCGACCCUUCGUGGACCGGCCGGAAGUGAGAAUGCUGGCAUGAGUAGCGAGAGGGGCGUGAGAAACGCCCCCGCCGUAAACCCAAGGUUUCCUGGGCAAGGCUAAUCCUCCCAGGGUCAGUCGGGUGCUAAGGCGAGGCCGGAAGGCGUAGCCGACGCGCAGCAGGCAGACAUUCCUGCACCCCCGACGCGGCGCCAUCACCGACGGGGUGACGGAGAAGGGUAGCUCAGCGGGGUUCUGGACGUCCCCGUGAGGCCACGUAGGCCGGGCGGCUGUGAAACGCGCCGCCCGCGAGGGCUGAGGUGGCUGACGAAGCGACUGGGUGAAGUGAGUGAGCCCAUGCUCCCGAGAAAAACCCCUAGGGAUGCCGCGCGGGGCCCGUACCGCAAACCGACACAGGUGGGUGGGUAGAACAUACCAAGGCGAUCGGGAGAACUAUGGUUAAGGAACUCGGCAAAACUGCCCCGCAACUUCGGGAGAAGGGGUGCCGCCGCCGGUGGAGGGGCUUGCCCCCCGAGCUGGUGGCGGCCACAGUGAAGAGGUCCAAGCGACUGUUUAUCAAAAACACAGGACUCUGCUGAAGUCGUAAGACGACGCAUAGGGUCUGACGCCUGCCCGGUGCCGGAAGGUCACGAGGAGCCGUCAGCGAGAGCGAAGCGGCGAAUCCAAGCCCCGGUAAACGGCGGCCGUAACUAUAACGGUCCUAAGGUAGCGAAAUUCCUUGUCGGGUAAGUUCCGACCUGCACGAAAGGCGUAACGAUUUGGACGCUGUCUCAACCAUAGACCCGGUGAAAUUGCACUAGUCGUGAAGAUGCGACUUACCCGCGGAAGGACGGAAAGACCCCGUGAACCUUUACUGCAGCUUGACAUUGGCUGCCGGUUCGUCGUGUAGAGGAUAGGUGGGAGACGCCGAACCAGGGACGCCAGUCCCUGGGGAGUCACCCUUGGAAUACCACCCUCGACGUUCUGGCAUCCUAACCCCGCGCCGUGAUCCGGGCGGGGGACCGUGUCAGGUGGGUAGUUUGACUGGGGCGGUCGCCUCCUAAAGAGUAACGGAGGCGCACAAAGGUCUGCUCAGCCUGGUCGGCAACCAGGCCGCUGAGUGCAAGAGCGCAAGCAGGCUCGACUGCGAGGCCCACGAGCCGAGCAGGGACGAAAGUCGGUUCUAGUGAUCCGGCGGCCCAGAGUGGAAUGGCCGUCGCUCAACGGAUAAAAGGUACUCCGGGGAUAACAGGCUGAUCUUCCCCAAGAGUCCACAUCGACGGGAAGGUUUGGCACCUCGAUGUCGGCUCAUCGCAUCCUGGGGCUGGAGCAGGUCCCAAGGGUAUGGCCGUUCGCCAUUUAAAGCGGUACGCGAGCUGGGUUCAGAACGUCGUGAGACAGUUCGGUCCCUAUCCUCCGCGGGCGUAGGAGAACUGAGGGAGGCUGCCCCUAGUACGAGAGGACCGGGGUGGACGGACCUCCGGUGCGCGGGUUGUCGACCAACGGCACCGCCCGGUAGCUGAGUCCGGUUGGGAUAACCGCUGAAAGCAUCUAAGCGGGAAGCCCGUCCCGAGAUGAGUUCUCCCUUCGGUAAGGCCCCUCGUAGACCACGAGGUGAUAGGCCGCAGGUGCAAGCGCCGCGAGGCGCUCAGCCGAGCGGCACUAAUCGGCCGAGCUCUUCUCUUC